AUGGAGCUGAAGUUUGGUGGCAGAAUGGUUAAGGCGCGCUGUCCGCCCGGCCGGAGCUCCCGGAGUAUCUGGAGAGAUGCGAGUACGACCGGGGCUAGUGGCUCCGCGGCCGUGCCCCUCCUCCUCGCGCCGCCGCCGCCUCCCUUCCCGGUGUUUAUAAUCAACCUGUUCUCACUGAUUGUACCGAUUCUGGUAGCCGUAGCCUUUUUAACCCUAGUCGAAUGUAAAAUUCUAGGCUACGUGCAGCUCCGCAAAGGCCCCAAUGUUGUUGGGCCUUACGGCCUCCUACAACUCUUCGCAGAUGCGAUCAAACUUUUCAUCAAAGAACCUCUCCGACCCUCAACCUCCUCAAAACUUAUAUUUACAAUCCCUCCAGUCUUAGCCUUAGCCCUAGCCCUAACUAUAUGAAUUCCACUACCAAUGCCAUAUCCCCUAAUCAACAUGAACCUAAGCAUACUAUUCAUUCUAGCUAUGUCAAGCCUAGCCGUAUAUUCCAUCUUAUGAUCAGGCUGAGCAUCAAAUUCCAAAUACGCCCUAAUUGGGGCCCUACGAGCAGUAGCUCAAACCAUUUCUUAUGAGGUCUCACUAGCAAUUAUUCUACUUCCAGCAAUACUUAUAAAUGGGUCAUUUACCCUAUUCACCCUAACCACUACCCAAGAACGCCUCUGAUUAAUCUUUCCCCUCUGACCACUAGUUAUAAUAUGAUUCGUCUCAACCCUAGCAGAUACCAAUAGAGCUCCAUUCGACCUAACCGAAGAAGAAUCUGAACUGGUAUAUCAGGCUUCAACGUUGAAUACGCUGCGGGGCCGUUUGCUCUAUUUUUCAUGGCUGAAUAUGCCAACAUCAUUAUAAUAAAUGCCCUCACAACCAUCCUAUUUUUAGGAGCAUUUCACAACCCACUGCUACCAGAAAUUUACACAAUCAACCUUGUUCUAAAGACUUCUCUACUAACCACCUGCUUUCUUUGAGUACGAGCAUCCUAUCCACGAUUUCGAUAUGACCAGCUUAUACAUUUAUUAUGAAAAAAUUUCCUACCACUAACACUGGCCCUGUGUAUAUGACACGUAUCAAUCCCCAUUAUACUAGCAUGCAUCCCUCCACAAACAUAAAGAAAUAUGUCUGACAAAAGAAUUACUUUGAUAGAGUAAACUAUAGAGGUUUAAGCCCUCUUAUUUCUAGAAUUAUAGGAUUCGAACCUAAACCUAAGAAUUCGAAAAUCUCCGUGCUACCACUUACACCAUAUCCUACACUAGUAAGGUCAGCUAAAUAAGCUAUCGGGCCCAUACCCCGAAAAUGUUGGUUUAUACCCUUCCCGUACUAAUUAAUCCCCUGAUCCUCAGUAUAAUCCUAAUAACCCUAAUAAUAGGAACUAUAGCCACCAUACUCAGCUCAAACUGACUACUAGCCUGGAUAGGCCUAGAAAUAAAUAUACUAGCCAUAAUCCCCAUCCUAACCAUAAACUCCAACCCACGAUCCACAGAAGCAGCCACAAAAUAUUUCC